GCAAGUCGAGGGGCAGCGGGAGUAGCUUGCUACUUGCCGGCGACCGGCGCACGGGUGCGCAACGCGUAUGGAACCUACCUUUUACAGGGGAAUAGCCCAGAGAAAUUUGGAUUAAUGCCCCGUGGUACCAGCUAACAGCAUUGUUUACUGGUUAAAGCCCUCGGGCGGUAGAAGAUGGCCAUGCGUACCAUUAGCCAGUUGUAAGGUAACGGCUUACCAAAGCUACGAUGGUUAGGGGCCCUGAGAGGGGGAUC
rnacentral:rRNA from 1 species